GAUGAACGCUGGCGGCGUGCUUAACACAUGCAAGUCGAGCGAAGCGGCUGAAUUGAUUCUUCGGAUGAUUUUCAGUUGACUGAGCGGCGGACGGGUGAGUAACGCGUGGGUGACCUGCCCCAUACCGGGGGAUAACAGCUGGAAACGGCUGCUAAUACCGCAUAAGCGCACAGAGCUGCAUGGCUCGGUGUGAAAAACUCCGGUGGUAUGGGAUGGGCCCGCGUCUGAUUAGGCAGUUGGCGGGGUAACGGCCCACCAAACCGACGAUCAGUAGCCGGCCUGAGAGGGCGACCGGCCACAUUGGGACUGAGACACGGCCCAAACUCCUACGGGAGGCAGCAGUGGGGAAUAUUGCACAAUGGGGGAAACCCUGAUGCAGCGACGCCGCGUGAGCGAAGAAGUAUUUCGGUAUGUAAAGCUCUAUCAGCAGGGAAGAUAAUGACGG
rnacentral:rRNA from 1 species